UGGAAACUACUGUGCCAACAAUUUUCGCCUGGCUGCUAUGUAGUUUUAGGUUCAGAUUUUCCAUCCUGAAAGUACACAUCAUAGUAGUAUUCACUCUAAUUUCAUUUUCCUAUUGAUAAUAAUGAGCCAUCAAAUACCAAUGCAUAGUGUUCACUCCAAUUACUGCAUGUAUAUUUGAGAUUUUCUAAGAAAUUUUUUUUUGAAAGUUUAAAAAAAAUACCACCCAAAUUCUGAAAUAGUAUCAGUCAUCAUAAAUCCUGGACCUAUUUAUUAGAGACAACCCAUAUAUGUGUCACCUGCAUAUUCCAUUCCUGUAAUUUCACGAUCAGUUGUCCAACCUUUAGAUAAGGGUGUGUCGAGAAGUCUCACAAUGACUAAAUAUAUGGUUAAAUAAGUGUUUAUAAAUGAUAAGUAUUUAUAAAUGGUAGAAUAAUCCUCUCCCUAAACUAACUUUUAGGGUAGAAUUAGACUCAACCCAAAUUAGAGAUAUCCAAAAUUAGUUUCUUCAAACACAUAAUUCAUAAGGGUGAAGAGGGGAAACCUGAAAAUUACAGCAAGUGUGAAGGUAAAGGCAGGGACCAGGUCCACCAUAGCUGAGGCCAGUGUGGGAGAGCUAUAUCCAAUUCCAGUGUACAACAAUAUCUGCACUGCAGUACUGCACAGUUACCUCAAGCUCAUCAAAUUUCCCACAUGAAUUCCCCUUUCAAAACUGCCAAAUUCCGAUCAUAGAAGAAUAUAUAUUUGAAUUGUAUACCGUGUAAUAAGGUGUAACUCUGUUCAUACCUGAGGCAAGAAAGAAGAAAUAUUCUGCGGAGAAUUGAGCUUGGAAUUGGUGGAGGAGCUCUCUUCCUGUAUGAUUUUUGAAGGGUAAAAGAAAUCACAAAGAAAUACAAAUUUAUAACACAGGCUUGUGAAAGAAACUUUUCAGUAAUUGGACACACCUGUGGUAGAGGAUGGUGGAUGGUAGAAGGAAACAGAGAGCCAAAAGGUUUGAGUAGACAAUGAAAACAUAGUUGCUCAUUCCACUGUUGGUGGCUGACUUGACUAGAGUGUUCAAGCCUACUUCCAAGAACUGAGUUGCAACCAUUGCUGCUGUUACACUCACUCCUUCACUCACCAUUUCUCUGUCUUUUACUUUUCCCCUAAUUCACUUGUUCUAACUUCUCAACUCUAUAGCUAGCAGAUUGAACUACUGGUUUCCAGAACUAAAACACUUUCACUUUCCUAAUCUUAUAUUAUCUAGCUUUUCAAACUAUUCAAAUAAAGUACGUAUGUCUGGUUAGAAUAUGAGGAUGGCAUCAUAAUAUUGUUUAAUAAUAAUUUAAACUUUUGAUUAGCUAGCUACAUGCAUUACUCAUCCAAGAUUUUUUUUUCUCUUAUCAAUGUUUUACCUUAAGGAAAACUUAAACUCGGGGAACCAACAAAUAAUUUUUCUAAGCAAUCGAACUUAUGUUCUCACUUUUAUAAUUUACUGUUUUAAGAGUCAAUUAUCUUAAAAUCUUAAAUUAUUAGAUUGGAUAAGAGUUACAUGAGUAAUUUCAUAUUUGUAAGAUAUGCAGGAUAAAUGCAUAUCGUUAAUAUUACUAUCUUGGAUUUUGUCCCAAUUCAGAUUCAGUGAUUAAUAAGCAUUCAUGUAUCACACAAACAGCACAGAAAUAUAGGCAAAACAUAACGUCAUGAUCCAUGUCUUGGUAGAAGGAUGGAAGACUUUCUCCCCCAAACCCUCUAGAAGCAACAAAUACUUAAUAAAAGAUACUCCAAGAGGUAUAAAUAUUUACAUAUUUACAUAUGCAUUCAUUCAUGUAUACCAUUUGAAGUCACACUACACACAUGUAAAGAGUAAGGAGUAAACCCUCCGAUCAUUAUUAUAAACAAAAAUCAAAUUUUUAAAUUCGUUUAAUAAAUGAUGUAUCUAGUCUAUAUUAAUGACUAGAUAUAUCAUUUAUUCAAUAAAUCUAAAAUAUUGUUUUUAUGGUGUAUUAAUUUAUAAAGGAGAAGUCUACUCUUUAAUCUUUUUUUUUGUAUAUCGGAAAGAUAAAUUGCACCCGCUAGAAAUCGAACCCUAGACCUCCCCCUACUCAACUCUCAUGUCCUCAUCUUCUACUACUUGAGCUAUCAUACGGGACCUACUCUUUAGUCUUUACAUGUGUGUAGUGUGGCUUCAAAAGAUAUAAAUAUUUUAUUAAAAUGAUGAAUAGUGGACAUCCAUUUGGGCUUAUUGGGCUAUACACCAAGAAUUAUUAAAAUCAGAAAUGAAAAGAAGAGAUAGUUUAAUGUGCCUUCGGGUUUAAUUUAAUGUAGCAUCUUUGACCAAAAAAUAGCAUAAUGUGAUAUGAUAAUGACUACAAAAAUAUACACACGAAACGUAUAAUAUAAUAUAUUGUUCUAACAUUAUAUAUUGUAUAUUGUAAGCUUGAAGUUGGUACACCAAGUCUAACACUGAUAAAACUAAGGAGAGGUUUGGAAAACAUGUCUGGUUAAGAUAUUAAAAUUUUUUUUGUCAAUGAUCUGUAUUUUAUUAGUAUUAAAAGAGUACUUUGGAGUAACGGUGAAGCUAGCAAGAGGAUAUGGGGGUGGUGGGCGAAUAGAGAGGAGUUGCGAUAUCACGUUCGUGGCCCACGGCACAAGAUCCAGGGAUCGAGUUGGAUCAUCAAAACAUUGGGCCGUUGGGGUUUGUAUAGGUUGUGUAAAAUGAAAAUAGUAGGCCCAACUCUUUUAUAUAUAAAUUAGGCCUGUGCAGAAAAAAAAAGGUGUGCAAAAAUGACAUAAACUUGUACGGCUUUGCCCAUUGUCCAUUGAGUUUGUCAGUUUGAUGAGAAAGAAGGAUCUACCUAAUAUGCACCACUUUUUAGUGGUGCAAGGUUGCACCACUAAAAAGUGGUGCAUAUUAGGUGGCACCGAGAAAGAAAGAAGAAGGAAAGAGAUAAAUAGCUAUAUAAAUAGAUAGACACGGUGUUUGUUUCACGGAUUGGAAAAUCAUACCCGGGAAUCUUGUUCCCGGGAAUGUUAUGAUGAGAAUGUUAUUCCCAGACAUUUUUUAAAAAUCCGUUUGGUUCACAAAAUCAGUUUCUGAGAAUCUUUUUUAAUAUUCCUCGGUAUAAUUAUAAUAUAUGUUUGGUUCAAAAUGUAUAUUCCUGGGAAUAGAUAGUAAAAUUCUUAAAAUACCCUUCGCGGUAAAAGACAUGGGUAGUGGGUAGUUGGUAGUGGGUAGUGGGUAGUGACAAUUCAGAGAUUUCACACCAAAAAUCUCAUUCCCUUCUAUUACGUGUGCGGCUUGUUAGCCUUGGAGGUGGCUACGUCCUCUUCCACAGCGGGUUCGACGUUGCAGCCAAAGCUUUGGCGGAAAUUCUGGGCAACCAAUGCAACCAAUGCAUUACCGACGUGGCUUUAUUCCGGUUCGCGACCAGCUCUUCCGCCGCCAUGUAGAUACGGAUCCGGGAUGCUCCCUUUGCGGACACGAGCGAGAGACCAUUGAUCAUAUCUUUUUGAGAUGUCCGGCGGCCAUGGCCAUUUGGUAUGCGUCCCCUCUCUCCUUUAGAGUUGAACAAUUUGCAUCUUUCCAGGUUUUUUGGCACAUUAUUCUCCAGCAGCAUGAAUCUGAGGUGGUGGAGAUGUGUCAGUCUUUGGUGUACAACAUUUGGGAUGUGAGGAAUAGGGUGAUUUUUCGGAGUGGGAGAUUGGUUGUUGGGGAUGUUAUUGAUCGGGCCUUGGGGCUAUUGGCUCCAAUUUCUCCGGCGGUGCGUGAGGAGCGGGGAGGGACCAAAGCGGUGUGGAGGAGGCCACAGGGAAGGGUGGUUAAGCUAAACUUUGAUGCUUCUUUUGUGGAUGGUAUGGGAGCGGGAUUGGGGAUGGUUGCCCGCAACCGUCUUGGGGAGAUCAUGGCUGCUGCGACCUCCCAUCCGGUCCCAGUUCUUUCGUCUCUGUUGGCAGAAGCGAGCGGGUUGAGGUGGACCUUACGGCUGGCAAGAGAGCUUGGUUUUCGUCGUGUCUGUUUAGAGACGGAUUGUCUUCAGUUAUAUCAGUGGUGGCAGAACGGUACAGUGGGAAGAUCUUAUUUGGACACCAUCAUUGGAGAUUGUCGUUCUUUAAUUCCGUUUUUUGAUGUUUUUUCCUUGUCGUUUGUUAGACGUUCUGGUAAUUCAGUUGCAGACUUUCUGGCUAAGAACGCUUCCACUUAUGCGGAUUGUGUAUGGGUGGAAGAGGCUCCUGAUGCCGUUUCUGGUUUGGUUGAUUUGGAUGUAAUUGUUUCUAGGCCGGUUGGCCCUUAAUAUUAUUUCAGUUCACUUUCAAAAAAAAAAACUUACCCACCUCUCCAUCAUGAGAAUGAGAAAUGCUUCUGGAUGGGCAUAUGACUUACCCAGGAAUGAAAGAUACCCUGGUAUAAUUUUUUUCAAAUCUGCUACAAACACUGGAAUGUAGAUUCCGGCCCAAACAUUCCCGAACAUUCCCGGAAAUCCUUUUCCAAUCCGUGAAACAAACGCCCAAUAAGAAGCAAAUAUAUAUAUACUACCAUGUCACAAGUAGCAUUAGUGAGACUUGUUCUUUCCUUGUCAUUCAUUAACAAUUUGCCUGCCAACAAAACAGUGACAUUUCAUUGCUGGACAUGCCAACAGGCAAUUAUUUGAGAAGUUAAUUAUUCAUUAUUAUAUUAACAUUAAUUUGAUACAAAUAAAGGUAUUAGGGUAUAUAUCAAUGUUGCAGCUAUUGCCUAUUUAAGAUGAACAUUAAUAAACUAGUAAUUGAGCAAUCGACCUUAUUGAAAUUUUAUUUUGACUCCCAAAAUUUAUUGUUCAAGAUCCGCCACCUACCCUACAAGAAAGGAGAAUCAUCUAUGCAUCUAUGCCUUUGCUGUAGAUGAGAGGGGCUGAAGAAGAAGAUGAAGCAAAAUCAUUUUCCUCUUGAGCCUGCGCCCAUAUCACACCAUAGAAUCCAAUAGCUAUUAUGACAGCUCCAAUCAGGCUGCACCAACAAUUGUACUAAUGUUAAUCCUGCAGCAUUUAAAUAAACUUUUCAUAAAUCUACUAUUUUUAGAGGUAAUUACCUUCCCAGAUAAAGAAUGUCUCCUAGAAAUAAUACUCCCAAGACAACCGCAAUUACCAUUCCUAAAGGGCUGAACAUAGCUACAUAAAUUGGUCCCUUCUUACGAAACGCCCAUGCAUACACAACACUCCGCAUCGUUACCACAAAAAUUGCCUGCAAAUGAAUCAAUAACCACAAAAUUAAAACAUUCUUACAUAACAUAACCAACUCAUAAUUCAACAUGUCAAAGGUCCUCAUAGUAAAAAUCAGACAUAUAUACUCCUCAGUUUAUUCUUACUGAAUAACACACAGCUACCAACUCUUUAUCAGGUCUGAGAAUCCAAGCUCUUGAAGUUCCCUCUGCAAUUAGACCCACUAUGGCAGAUAGGACCACCACCAUGCUGCAACAAACGGUUGUUACUACUAGCUCUUCAGGAUAUUCCCUCAUAAUCCAAGUCUGUGUAUUGGUGGAAAGCCAAAUUAAAUAAAAUGACUUUUAUUCUAAACUGCAAAGACAGUGUGCAACUGUGCAUUUAAAUUUGGACUAUAUAGUUUGUUUACCUGUACAAUAUACAAUACUGAAACAAUAAAGCAAGCAGUUGCAAGAAGAAAACCACCAAGUAUCCAAUUUGAUUGCACUGAGAGGUAAGUUCCACUUCCUCCCAAUACUAAAUUUUGCAUAGAACCUCUAAUAAUUGGCAUUCCUUGGUAUAAAGUCAAGAUUAAUGCCCCUGCAAUGGAGACAAGUGUACCAACAAUUUUCGCCUGGCUGCUAUGCAGUUUCAGGUUCAGAUUUUCCAUCCUGAAAGUACACAUCACAGUAGUAUCAAUGCACAGUGUUCACUCCAAUUACUUCAUGUAUGGAUCACCAGUAUAUUUCAUUCCUGCGAAUUUUUUUCACGCUCCAAUUGUCCAACCCACGGUAUAAGAGUGUGGUGAGAAGUCUCACAUUG
rnacentral:lncRNA from 1 species